rnacentral:tRNA from 1 species
UUGUCGCCCUGGCCGGGCUGGACCGCCUCGCUUCGGUCGAGGGUGCCCAACUGUCCUGGGGCGAAGCGUUCGACCUGCUGGUGUCGGU